rnacentral:lncRNA from 1 species
UGUUGUUAUUUUAUAAAACAAUUACUUUAUGGUUUCCGUGUUUGAAUGGCCCGAUCCAAACACUUGGGAAUGUUGCUCGAGUUAAGAAAAGCGCGCAAAAUCACUCGCCUUCGACUCGUGCUUUCGUGCGCUUUUCUUAACUCUCGCAACAUUCCCGCGUGUUUGGAUCAGGCCAUCCAAGCCCGGAAACCAUAAAGUAAUUGUAUAAUAGCAUGAAGUUACAAGUGCGCAACUUAACAGAACAGAAAAAAACCGGACAGUGGUGGCGAUAUGAUCAGUAAAUUGUCGUCCACGAUAAAAAAAUGCCAUAACGAGUAUUUUAAACAUUUUCAGGGUUAUGUCAACGAUGCUAUACAGCACUCCUAUGGAAUGCUUCAAGGCAUCGUUGACACAACCCUGAAAAUGUUUAAAUAGUAAAAUAUUGUCG